GACGAACGCUGGCGGCGUGCUUAACACAUGCAAGUCGAACGGAAAGGCCCUGCUUGUGUGGGGUGCUCGAGUGGCGAACGGGUGAGUAACACGUGAGUAACCUGCCCUUGACUUUGGGAUAACUUCAGGAAACUGGGGCUAAUACCGGAUAGGAGCUCCUGCUGCAUGGUGGGGGUUGGAUAGUUUCGGCGGUUGGGGAUGGACUCGCGGCUUAUCAGCUUGUUGGUGGGGUAGUGGCUUACCAAGGCUUUGACGGGUAGCCGGCCUGAGAGGGUGACCGGCCACAUUGGGACUGAGAUACGGCCCAGACUCCUACGGGAGGCAGCAGUGGGGAAUAUUGCACAAUGGGCGGAAGCCUGAUGCAGCAACGCCGCGUGCGGGAUGACGGCCUUCGGGUUGUAAACCGCUUUCGCCUGUGACGAAGCGUGAGUGACGGUAAUGGGUAAAGAAGCACCGGCUAACUACGUG
rnacentral:rRNA from 1 species